CAGUCGCCGCGGGAAUACGAAGGGUGCAAGCGUUAAUCGGAAUUACUGGGCAUAAAGCGUGCGUAGGCGGUUUGUUAAGUCUGUUGUGAAAUCCCCGGGCUCAACCUGGGAAUGGCAAUGGAUACUGGCAUGCUAGAGUGUGUCAGAGGAUGGUGGAAUUCCCGGUGUAGCGGUGAAAUGCGUAGAGAUCGGGAGGAACAUCAGUGGCGAAGGCGGCCAUCUGGGACAACACUGACGCUGAGGCACGAAAGCGUGGGGAGCAAACAGGAUUAGAUACCCGCGUAGUCCCUGUCUCUUAUAC
rnacentral:rRNA from 1 species